rnacentral:rRNA from 1 species
GGAGCAACUCCCGCAAUGGGAAUGAAACGGUCCCAUGGGGCUUAGCGGCCUGCAGCAGUGGAGAAUCUUCUACAAUGAUCAUAAGUGUAGUACCUUUAUGGGCCUACAUGGUAAGAUUGAUAGAGCUAACUGUAUCUUGUGAUUGUCUAAAAGGUAAUCACGAGUGUAGCAAUAGGGAACAAUGAUCCCUUAUGCCAAUAGUGCGUGCUAAUCGGGGUGCCAGCAGCAGCGGCCAUACCCCUCGCGCAAGAGAACUGCAUCAUUAAUGUGCGUACAGGAUCCGUAGGCGGCUUUAGUAUUAAGGCUAGAGUAGAAAGCGGCGUAUUGAGUAUAGUAAGAGUAGCGAUGAAAUGCUUUGAUCCUUACCAGACUACUAACGGCGAAAGCACAAUACGAGCAACUACUGACGCUAAGGGAUGAAACCGCGGGUAGCAAAAUGGAUUAGAUACCCAAGUAGUCCGCGGCGUCAACUAUGUAUACCGGUAUUGUCUAGUCUAGAUGAUACUACGCAAACGCUUGAGUAUACCGCACCAAUAGUAUAGUCGAAAGGCUGAAACUGUAAGGAUAAGGCGGCUACGAGGACCCAGGGUGAAGCAUGCUGUUUAAUGCGAUAAUCCGCGCAGAACCUUACCUACUCUUGCAUGUGUUAUAUUUAUAUAAUUCACAGGUGUUGCAUGGCUGUCUCCAGAUCGUGUCAUUGUGACGUCAGGUUAAUUCCGCCAACGAUCGCAAUCCUUAGUACUAGUUAUACGCAAGUUAUCUUGGAUACUAGUAUUGUUUACUCGAUAAGGGUAGACUAUUAGGGCUAAGACAAGUCUUCAUGACCCUUAUGGGUAGGGCCACAGGCGUGCCGCACGACGCACCACAAUAUGUAGCAAUAUCGUAAAAUGGAGCAAAUCAUCAACAGUGCAUCAGUACGAAUUUUGGGCUGUAACUCGUCCAAAUGAAGAAGGAAUCCUGAGUAAUCGCGUAAGAGUACGGCGCGGUGAACAAAAAACUCGUUGUGUACUAAUCGCUCGUCAACUGGGU